AUCCUUUUGUAGUUCAUUAGCAUCAUGACUGGGUUUCACGGCUCCGGGUAUGAGAUGCGCCUCUCUCAAACCUUGUUAUGAUGUUGGCACAUUACCUAUCUGGCA